UCCUCCAAGAUAGGCACCCCACUCUUUUUUGGACACCUUGUACAACACAUGUCCUUGACCUUCUUUUGGAGGACAUAGGAAAAGUUGACUGGGUGACUCCAGUUGUGGAAGAUGCAAGGAGGAUCACGAAAUAUAUUUACAAUCACCCAAUAUUUGAUGAGAGAGCACACCCAAGGGAGAGAUUUGGUGAGAGCCAGUGUCAUAAGGUUUGCAACGAUUUUCUUGACGUUGCAAAGCAUUCUUGGUGCAUUGACUUCUUUGAAACAAAUGUUUGUGAGUUAAGCAUGGCUAGACUCACCUUAUUCAAAGAAGGCUGAAGGAGAGGGUGUCGCAUGCAUAGUCUUCGACAACCAUUUUGCACAAAAGGCUGCAGAGAUUGUGAAGUUUUCAAUUGUAGGUAUCAGAGCUCUUGGUUAGAGUUCUCUGCUUGGUAGAUGGGGAUAAAACCCAAUGGGGUAUAUUUAUGAGGCCAUGGAUAGGGCCAAGGAGUCUAUCAAAAAUUACUACAAGGGGGAUAUACUCAAAUUUGAUCAAUUUGAGAAAUUAUUGAUAAGAGGUGGAACAAUCAGCUCCACCAACCCAUUCAUGCAAUAGAGUACUUCCUCAACCCUCGUUUUAAGUUCUCGGAUUCUUACUCAGAUCCUAAUGGAGAGGUCAUGGAGGGCUUCACUACAUGCAUUCAGAGGAUGAUACCCGAGGUUGAGGUGAGAGAUCUCGUUGUGGCUGAACUCCAAAAUUAUGAGGAAGCAAGGGGUAAGCUAUUCUCUUCAGAGCUAGCCGUAAGAGGAAGAACCAUUCAAACCCCAGAUGCUUGGUGGCAAAGUUGGGGUGGAAAUUUCCCAAAUCUCAAAAAAUUUGCCCUCAGAAUCUUAUGUCAGCCUUGUAGUUCAUCCAGUUGUGAGCACAAUUGGAGCUUGUUUGAAGCCAUCCACACAAAGAAGAGGAGCAAGUUAGUGCACAAAUGCCUCAAUGACCUUGUCUUUGUGCAAUAUAAUCUUCAGUUGCGCAUAAGGAAGGUAGAGGAAGCACCGGUUGGUCCACUUGGCUUGGAUGAUAUAGAUCCUUACAGUGAUUAGACAUCACAGGAGCAACCUCCAUUGUUUACAAAGGAUGACAUCACUGAUUUGGAGAGGCAAGCUAUGGAGGAGGAGGGGGGUGGAUUUGGUUUCACAUUGGAUGACAUUGAGGAGGAUGAGGAGUCAUUGCUAGUGCCAAGAGAAGCUAGAGGCAGAGCCACAUCCAGGAUGGAGGAUGAGCCAUAGCCUGAGCCAUACAUAUUGAGCGAGGAGCUACAUUCAUGCCCAAUGCCAACUUCUAGGACUAGACCCUCUAGUUCUACCUCUCCCCUAGUUUUUGCUAGAGCUGGGAAGAGGAAGAUGUAAUUGUAAUGAUGUAUUUACUUUUAGUUAUACAAAAACUAUUUACUAUUUUGCUUCCAACCAUCAGUAUUCC